rnacentral:rRNA from 1 species
AACGAACGCUGGCGGCAUGCCUAACACAUGCAAGUCGAACGAGACCUUCGGGUCUAGUGGCGCACGGGUGCGUAACGCGUGGGAAUCUGCCCUUGGGUUCGGAAUAACAGUUAGAAAUGACUGCUAAUACCGGAUGAUGUCUUCGGACCAAAGAUUUAUCGCCCAGGGAUGAGCCCGCGUAGGAUUAGCUAGUUGGUGAGGUAAAGGCUCACCAAGGCGACGAUCCUUAGCUGGUCUGAGAGGAUGAUCAGCCACACUGGGACUGAGACACGGCCCAGACUCCUACGGGAGGCAGCAGUGGGGAAUAUUGGACAAUGGGCGAAAGCCUGAUCCAGCAAUGCCGCGUGAGUGAUGAAGGCCUUAGGGUUGUAAAGCUCUUUUGCCAGGGAUGAUAAUGACAGUACCUGGAGAAUAAGCUCCGGCUAACUCCGUGC